CGCGGGGCUGGGGAGGGGGUAAAUUUUACCCCCCUGUUAUCUCCCGAACUAAUGGUCCGAUUUGGAAAAUGCAAACGCCAAUCGAAAGAUCGCAUCACGAACAACUAAAAACAUGUACUUAAUUUAAAGUUUGAGGUCAAGGUCAAGGUUAGGUCAAGGGUACAAAUUGCAAGUUUCAUGGACCACUUCUCUGGCAUAUAUUCCGUUUUUUUUCGAUACACGCAAAAUUUCGGAUUUUAUAAUUAUUUUCCCAAAAAAGUCAGCUUUUUUGCAGAAAAAAAUUGGCCAAAAUAAAAAAAAUAAAAAAGCCAAGGUAGCCAUUUGAUAGACAAAGUAGAAUCACGUAUACACUUUUUUGUUACGUCUUGAUUCCCUUAAAAAUGAAGAUGUUAGCGGCGUUUGAAAUUUUGCCGUUUUUGAGACGAAAAUGGCGAACAUGACGUCACUAAAACGUCAUUUUCUCAAAAAAUCCUUUUGAGAUAUUGCAAAAAUUCGCGAGGGGGGGGGGGUAAAAUUUCCCCCCAGCCCCGCGCGGGUUAAAUAAAUGACGCAGCAUCAGUGAAACAACUAUAUGCUUAUGAUGCUUGCAUUGACAUGGAUGGCAUUUAGAAUAAGCCCGGCAGUUGCUUGGGUAUUUCACCACCCGCGGUUGGUUAGGCUAACCAGGCUAACCAACCGCGAGUGGUUGGUUAGCCUUUGCGCUUUUGGUGUAAUAACUUUAAAUGACAGAGACGCUCCUGAAAAAUAACUCAAUAGAAAUUAGAAGAGGGUUCGUGUACACAUUUCUGCAAUGGUUUUCAACAGCCAUUAGACGUAUUCAUCAAUGCAGAGGCCUCUUGCACCAAACUACCUACCUAGGUAAAUUCAGAUUAUACCUAGAUUCUCUUGCACCAAACUACCUACCAAAAAACGCUACCGUGAAAAUUUACCUAGAAAUUCUACCGAGCGGCAUAAGAACUUACCAAUUGUUAAAGCCCGACCGGCUGUUUUCCCUCUUGCACCGAAAGCCGGAAAGAAGUACUCGCGGAGGAAUUUUUGACGUUUUGACGGUAAACGCGGGCUUCCAAAAUAACUAGCAAAAGCUUAGGUAAAAUGAUUCAAUUAGUAACAAUAGGCACAAUACAUGAUAAUCCACGGGUACUUUUAUGUAAACUAGGCAUUACAAAAUGUUUAGACAAUGAUAAAUCAAUGUUUUAUCAGUGAAUAAUAAAAUAAUUGACCAAAUGCUCCAUAGGUUCACAGAGGUGCUUCUCCGUACCAAAGCGAAAAACCUCCGUAGCAGAACACUGAACAGCCAGGUUGAAGACUCACUCGUUGCCAUGGAAACGAAGCUUAUUUGUUCAAGUAAUUUAAUAUCAAAAUAACUUCUAUCGGUAUUUACGUAAAUGAAGAAUGAUUUCAUAAUACCAAAAUGUAUAUCAAUAAAAACAAUAUCCAUUUAAUUGUUUUCUUUAGUUACUAUUUGUUUGCGCCCACAAAUAAUUCGUCGCCAAACAGCCAAUCAAAACAAAUCCUAAAAACGCGAGCUGUCAAAUUUACCUAGGUAGGUAGGUAGGAUGGUGCAAGAGAAGUUACCGCCGUAGGUAGUUUUACUAGGUAGGUAUUUUGCCGAUUCUACCUAGCUAGGUAUUUUGGUGCAAGAGGCCUCAGAUCGAUUAUUGUGAUGUUGGCAUUUGGCAACCAACCACUUAAUACCUGGAUCACUGUACGUAAACAUUUAACAUGGUUUGGUUCGUUUUUAAUAAAUUUAGUCCGAACCUUUUAAAUGGAAGGAUUCACACGGACAGAGCCCAUAAGGGUCACAUAACUCGAAAAUAGCAUCGUCUGAGCCUUCUUUUGAAGCCCUUUUCAGCUAAUGAAAGACUAGUUCAAGCCACGGUCAGGUAAAAUUAGGUCAAAUUUUGAAUUUCGUUUCUGUAAAAAAGGUUGGUAGUUAGGUAUUUGUAAGAUUUCAAAUUGCAGUCACGCUGUCUCUAUGGAACCUAACGGAGCAGCACGGACCGUGGCGUCACCUUACCACCGAGACGAUAUCGAUAUGAAGUACAGCUUCCACAGAUGGUCGCUAGGUGCUCGGAAAUGAAUAGAACCAUCCGGGCCAGGCCUGAGGCCACUGAAUCAGAUACCUUUUUUCGAAAAGGCAAACACUUUUAUGGAAAAGUCAAGAAUUCUUAUUUUGAGAUUUUAUUCAUAUCAUUUACCCAAUUGUCAACAGUUAAACGUGAGUUAAACAAUUUGAGGCAGCAGUUUGACAGCGCAAUGUGUUUUGAGUACCUAUUACCAUGCAAAGAAAUUGGAUCAUACCUAGCUUCAAAAAUGAGCUAUUGAGAAGUGAGAACGAUUGCCAUAAAUAAUUGUUUUGAAUCAAAAUCGGCCGAAUAUGACGUCACUCAAACAUCAUUUCCGGCCGACCUAUGGUAGCUAGGAUCUUUUGAUAAUUGAUAGGUAUAGAUAGACACAAGGUGUGAAAUUGAUGCAGUUAGUGGUAUGCAAGUUUCGCGUGGAUACGAGUACGUUCAGUGGUUUAGAAUAUGUUGCAGAAAACGGGAGAAGAGAUCUUUCGAGCCCCCAAGUCAUGCUGGGGCUAAGUUAGCCAUAAGAAUUCAGCUAUCUAAUAAGGGUCCAUGUGUCAAGGUCGACCUAAGGUCAUUCGAGGUCACAUAAGGUCAACAUAAACGUGAUCUUCUCCAAGCAAAAUACAUGUCAUUUGACGCAUAUAGGCAAGAUCAAUGCACUAGUAUCUCUGCCCUAUCUUUGAGACUAUAUUUGUUCGAAUAAAGUUAAUAAAGUUGGGGGUUUUUGAUCUGAACUUUGGCCUAAGGUCUACAAAAAAAACCUAAAAAUUGCUUGGUCAUAUACAAGCCAAUAAAAGCCUUUAUUUGCCAGCAAUUAAAAAUCCAUGUCUUUGACGUCGCAUUUUACUCUGCAAGGGUCUGAAAAUCCACCCAUGUGAUGGCUGAUGCCAUCAUGGGGAUUAAAUCCUAAUUUUCAAUUUCAAAGGAUGUCGAAUUGGUGAGGAAAAUGACACUGAAAGUUUUGAGCUCCUAUCCCAAAAAGCUAUUCCUCGCGAAAACGCAAUCCCUUGCAACCCCAAAAAGUUAUGCCCGCGAGGUUUAACGAAUCCCCACAAGAUCAUCUCCUAUACUAAGUAUCGUAGCGAAACGCCUAAAACAGUGUUGAACAGAUUUUACAAACACACAGCGGAAGCAAUCCUAAAACUUUAUAAUUGAGUUCAGGAACUAUCACAAUUUUACCCUGUGCCGGUUAUUGAGCUGGUGACCUGACCUUAAAUAUCUGAGCCACGUAAUUGUACGGAAAGUGCCUAAAUGAUGUCAAUAGGGUAUGCUCAAAUUUAAAAGGCUGUGGUAAAGAUAGAGCUGGAGGCUGAAAAACAUGCUCCCUCCCUAAACAGUGAGCAGGGCGCAGCUUUCUAUCUGACAAGCCUGUGAGGUGAGGGGACGGUCACAUCAUCUGUGAAUACUAACACCUGUUCUCCCAUCCAUAUGCUGAUAACUAGCGACAAAUCACGAUAAAUAUUCUGUCCCACUGUUCGGGAACGCUCAAAACACUUUGGGGGCUUGGCGCCCGCCAUUCUUCUGCAAGGAGCAUUAGAGGCUCCAGAGAGGUUCACCGGAGCCAGCGACAAUGGGCUGGCCUCUACGUCUGGCCCUUUCGGCCGCCAUCGUCACCUCCGUCUUGGCCACGUGUCCCUCCUCCGAAUGGAAGCAGUUCCGCGACAUGUGCUACUGGAGGUCGGAUUUCACUCCCACCUGGCAUGGAGCUUCACUUGCAUGCCCAGCCAGGUUUCCUGGCUCGGACCUGGUUUCAAUUCAUGACGCGGAACUGGAUGCCUUCAUCGCUCAGGAUCUUCUGAACGGCGACUGGGCCUGGUUGGGCCUGAGCGGGUAUGCAUUCUCAUCGUCGUCAUGGACCUGGACGGACGGAUCGGCGUACAACUACACUAACUGGUUUGGAGGCAAUCCGCAGUGUAGCGAUGAGUGCUGCGCUACCAUAAACUAUGGAAACGAGGGGAACUGGACUGGGUGGGAUUGUUAUGGAUCAAAAUGGUUCUUGAUGUGCCAGAUAGAAGCAUCAUGAAUUAUGGCGGCAGGUAACCACCAGCGUACUUCUAGCCGCUUAAUGGCCGAGGUGGCCUGAGGCAGGUGCUUUGGUGACAGCUUACUCGUUUUUUUUUCUUUUGUGACAACUGACAACGUGUUAUAAGGAGAAGAAUGAAUACAUAUGAACAGUUUUGUG